rnacentral:rRNA from 1 species
UACGAAGGGGGCUAGCGUUGCUCGGAAUCACUGGGCGUAAAGGGUGCGUAGGCGGGUUUUUAAGUCAGGGGUGAAAUCCUGGAGCUCAACUCCAGAACUGCCUUUGAUACUGAAGAUCUUGAGUCCGGGAGAGGUGAGUGGAACUGCGAGUGUAGAGGUGAAAUUCGUAGAUAUUCGCAAGAACACCAGUGGCGAAGGCGGCUCACUGGCCCGGUACUGACGCUGAGGCACGAAAGCGUGGGGAGCAAGCAGG